GGUCAGAGAAUUCGUUGAACCUCAGCAGCACUUAAGCACUGUUUGGACUCGUUUCUGGCUAUUCAGACCAAAUAAGGGGUUUUUUUUUUCAGGGAGAGACUACUGGCUCCAGGUAAAACAUUAAUGGGAAGAGCACACAAAGCAAGCCAGGCUGUUUUAAUAAGCAAGGACAGGCAGGAGAUUAUUCCAAACAAGCGCCUUGCUGUGCCAGCUAAAGGAGCCCUGGGACGCUGAUAGGAGAUAAUCAACAAGGAGAUACCCGUGCUACAUUUUUUUUUCUGCUGGCUUUCCUCUCUUUGCACCUACUGAUUCACUGUCAAGAAGAAGAGGAGGAAAAAACAGAUUUUUUUUUUAAAGAAAAUCCCAAGAACAAAUGCAAAAGCUGAUAACAAAGAAGAUGAGUUCCACUGGGAUCCAAGAAGUAGGUGUUUGACAACACUUUCCUUUCCUUGGUCCUUGCAUGAGGAAGAGAGUGAAGAGGAAUGCUGUGGCCCUCCAUGUCAGAUGCAAUUACGAAGGGUUCCCAGCCAUUUCUGGUUCAGCAGAGAUCUCUCUUAAGCCAAAUGCAGAAAAGCCUGUGUAGCCAUUGCAGUCUGGUGGAAGGCUGGGCCAGUAAAAUUACAGUCUGCUCUUAUAGCUCACCUUCUGGGGUUUAAUGCUGUCACCAAGACACAAAAGAGUGGAAAGCUGUUGGAUCUUCUCAUGCAGGAGCUUCAUGGCAAGUCAAACCUGCACUACCUGCACUAUGAGUAUGGAACAUCUCUCACCUCACUGCUUCCAGGACAGAGAUUGACAGAAGAGCAGAGCACUGUCUGAGCAAGCUGUGUGCUGCUAGCUAUUUGUUAUUCACAGAGUUUUGGAUCCCAAGGUAACUCUGAGCAGUUCUAGGGCUGUAGGACACACCAGGAACUAACAUGGUCCUUGACAAGAUGCUGAGUCUUUCUGAGCCAGAACUUUCUAAUAACAAAGAAAGCCAAGUUCAACAAGAGAAGCUUGGAAACAAAGAAGCCUUUGAAGGUGGUGAGCAAGAAUAAGCGAGACACAGCCCAGGUGGCAGAAAAGGAGAAAGAAUCCUGAUAAAUAAUGAAAAGUCAUAGAGUGGUAGAUGGGUCUGUCAGAACAGAAGGAAAGAAAGACCAGGCUUACAAACAAGAAAAAAAGAAGUCACUAAAAGCAGAGGAGAAAGCAUUAGGCACCAAAAGGGGCUGACUGAAGCACUGAGAUCAAAGAGGCUGCUUUAUGGAACUUGAAAGCACAAGUAAAAUGUAAAAGCCAUAGAGAGAUUCUAUCCCAGGUAAUUCCACAGCUGAGGUUUUUAGGUUUCACAACACAGGGUGUAAAAUGUUUGACAUGGUUAUCCAAAAAGAAAAAAAAAAUCUCAAUCACUGUUGUUUUCUAGAAAAAAAUCCUGCCUAUAAGUUUGAAAUACAGGAAUGCUACUUUAUUUUUUUUAAUACUUUCUGGUUUUGCUUUGUUUUUUUCCUGGCGUCCUAUCACGCCCAAAUAUGAUGGUGGUUCCUCAGUAUCGUGUAUAUUGGUGGGUCGAUAGCCCAAUGAAGAGAGAGAAUGAAAUCAUAUUGUAUCUAGUCAAGACAUAUAGUUGCUUGAAGUAUUUAUGAUGCUCUGGGAGGGAAGAGAUGGUCAGAAAGAGAUCAUAUCAAAUAGACACAUAUAGCAAAUUAAUGUAUUAAGGGAUGAAUUUUAAGUCCAUAUCACAGAUCAUGGCUUUCAAAAGAGCUUGUUCUGCAUUUGGGCGUGUAGAAAGCAGUCAUAUUUUUACAUGCAUCAAACUUAUCCCCAGAAUGAGAUGAAAUGUUCCUUUGGGGGUGGUAAAGGUUUAUGGUGAAUCCUGAUUCUGAAGGUCACUGUAAAUUAGAAAGCUGGAUUCCUUUUCUCUCCAUCAUAUGCUCUUAGUCCCUCUGAUUUGUAUUCCCUCCUCCUGGAGGAUUAGCAAAUAAAUUCAUUUUAUUUAAAUGGGUUGUCAAAAUACAACACAGUCAGCAUCAGCUCAUAUUUCAGCUCAAGAGCCAAAGAGGUCCACAUGGAGAGAAAGUCACACAACCAGUAGAUCAGUGCUUCAGUCAGGGCCAGGGGGGUGGCUUUGAUGACUUUCCAGUUAGAUCAUGAUUAAUAAACAUAUUUUGUAAAAUCACUGCCUUGCAUCUCCACUCGCCCUCUGCUACCUGUGGUCUCUACUAUUCUGAUGACUUAAGUGCUUUCACAGUUCAUCUAGUCUUGGGGAAAAGAGAGUAUUUGUGGAGGAGGGGGAUGUAUGUAAACCCAUGUGUGCAAAACACAAUGCAUUCCUUGUGGGCCUCCACCUUCUGAAAACAGCUUUUCAUUCUUGUCAAGACAAACCCACAGCGAAGUUCAGAAGUCAUUCGUUGUUAGACAGGAAAAGAGCCAGUUCGAAUCUGUAAUUCCAUCAGACCAUGGUAUUCCCCUCUGGUAAAGGUCAUUUGGAAAGAAGAUAUGAAAAUGAUUCAAUACUUGAACUUACCCAAAAAGCCAAGCAACUUAUUUACUAUGCAGUGACCCCAUAGUGAUCUCAUCAACAACAUAUGCAGCUCCCACUUGCAUCAGUUGGUGUUGUGAGUAGGUAUCAAGAAAACAGUAUUGCUGUGCUAGGGGAAUACAUCAAGUGCAUCUAUGUGGUUUAGUUUUACAAAGCCUGUAUGCAUUUUUCAAUCUCUUUUUAUAAACGUUAAUAAAGUAUUGA